rnacentral:rRNA from 1 species
ACCGUGAGACAGGUGCUGCAUGGCUGUCGUCAGCUCGUGUUGUGAAAUGUUGGGUUAAGUCCCGCAACGAGCGCAACCCUUAUCCUUUGUUGCCAGCGGUCCGGCCGGGAACUCAAAGGAGACUGCCAGUGAUAAACUGGAGGAAGGUGGGGAUGACGUCAAGUCAUCAUGGCCCUUACGAGUAGGGCUACACACGUGCUACAAUGGCAUAUACAAAGAGAAGCGACCUCGCGAGAGCAAGCGGACCUCAUAAAGUAUGUCGUAGUCCGGAUUGGAGUCUGCAACUCGACUCCAUGAAGUCGGAAUCGCUAGUAAUCGUGGAUCAGAAUGCCACGGUGAAUACGUUCCCGGGCCUUGUACACACCGCCCGUCACACCAUGGGAGUGGGUUGCAAAAGAAGUAGGUAGCUUAACCUUCGGGAGGGCGCUUACCACUUUGUGAUUCAUGACUGGGGUGAAGUCGUAACAAGGUAACCGUAGGGGAACCUGCGGUUGGA